rnacentral:lncRNA from 1 species
GCCAGUAUACGCUAUAUAUAAACUGUUUCAAAAAUCCCAUAAAUAAAUGAAUGUUUUUGAAACAUUCAUAUCCCUAUGAUUUCUGUUGAAAUGUGAGAGACCUGUGUAGAUAGAUGCCCCUAGGGCUUCAUUUUUUACCUGUUGGGGCAAAUGAAGGAAUCAAGUCUGACCUGAAUGAGAUGAUUGCAAUACUCAGGCCUGACUGAAUUGGACAACCAAUUCUUAGGAGGAAUUUAGCAAACAUUGGUGGUGCUAAACAGGCUUUUCUUGCUCUCAAAGUGUUUUUCUUAACUCUUCGAUUAGGACUUGACCAAGACCUGACAGACAGGUCCUGAGCUCUGGUGACACAUAGACACCUGACUCCUUGGUAUCAGUUUAGGAGGUCCCUCACUUCCUGGGGAGCAGUAAAUAAGGCUUCUCCCUCUAUAAACAAGCUGCUUGGGUUAAGGAAAGCACCCUUAAGCACCUGUUACUGUUUCCAAACUUCCCUAGCCAUGCCCACAUCCAAACCUCUAAGCCUCAGAACCCUCACCACAAUACUGCAAAUAAACUGAUUUUAUUUAUUCCUAAUAGGCAGAUACUUAAUAUCCACUUCCUCCCAUCACUGACUAGUGUCACUUGUGUUCUGAUGUUCUGGACCUAGUAAUAUUUACCUUGUCUUUUUUCUGUUGAAGAAGCUGCCAAAUCCUUGGGAGGAGAAGGACACCGAGGGGGGGGCAUUUAAAAGUCUCCCUAAAAGAAACUACAAAGCUAACAGUCUCUGAGUCUCAUAGUUUCUCUUGAGAAGUGAGUUGUUGAUCAGGUCCAGAGUCUUCGUGGGACUAUCCAGGAAAAGAUGACAAAAAUCUCUUCACAUGAUUGUCCAGGAAAAGGUUUCCUCAGCUCUGUGACAGAGCAGUCCUAGACUGCAUCAUCUCUCCAAACCAAGGCACUAUACUCUAGAAGACUGGAAAGCCUGUACCCUGGGACCCAGGGAAUUUUGAGACC